GACGAACGCUGGCGGCGUGCUUAACACAUGCAAGUCGAACGGAAAGGCCCUGCUUUUGUGGGGUGCUCGAGUGGCGAACGGGUGAGUAACACGUGAGUAACCUGCCCUUGACUUUGGGAUAACUUCAGGAAACUGGGGCUAAUACCGGAUAGGAGCUCCUGCUGCAUGGUGGGGGUUGGAAAGUUUCGGCGGUUGGGGAUGGGCUCGCGGCUUAUCAGCUUGUUGGUGGGGUAGUGGCUUACCAAGGCUUUGACGGGUAGCCGGCCUGAGAGGGUGACCGGCCAAAGGGGGACUGAGAUACGGCCCAGACGCAAACGGGAGGAAGGAGUGGGGAAUAGUGAAAAAUGGGCGGAAGCCUGAUGCAGAAACGCCGAGUGCGGGAUGACGGCCUUCGGGUUGUAAAACGCUUUCGCCUGUGACGAAGCGUGAGUGACGGUAAUGGGUAAAGAAACACCGGCUAACUACGU
rnacentral:rRNA from 1 species